UGGCCUUGUAGUCCAACGGCUAAGACGCGUCCUUGACGUGGAUGAGACCGAGGUUCAAUUCCUCGCAGGGCCAU
rnacentral:tRNA from 1 species